rnacentral:lncRNA from 1 species
AUGGACAUAGGAUGGACACAGGGACACAGGGACACAGGGAUGGACACAGGGAUGGACACAGGGAUGGACACAGGGAUGGACACAGGGAUGGACACAGGGAUGGACACAGGGAUGGACACAGGGAUGGACACAGGGAUGGACACAGGGAUGGACACAGGGAUGGACACAGGGAGGGACACAGGGAGGGACACAGGGAUGGACAGACACAGGGACGGACCCAGGGAGGGACACAGGGAUGGACACAGGGAGGGACACAGGGAUGGACAGACACAGGGACGGACCCAGGGAGGGACACAGGGAUGGACACAGGGAGGGACACAGGGAUGGACAGACACAGGGACGGACCCAGGGAGGGACACAGGGAUGGACACAGGGAGGGACACAGGGAUGGACAGACACAGGGACGGACCCAGGGAGGGACACAGGGAUGGACACAGGGAGGGACACAGGGAUGGACAGACACAGGGACGGACCCAGGGAGGGACACAGGGAUGGACACAGGGAGGGACACAGGGAUGGACAGACACAGGGACGGACCCAGGGAGGGACACAGGGAUGGACACAGGGAGGGACACAGGGAUGGACAGACACAGGGACGGACCCAGGGAGGGACACAGGGAUGGACACAGGGAGGGACACAGGGAUGGACAGACACAGGGACGGACCCAGGGAGGGACACAGGGAUGGACACAGGGAGGGACACAGGGAUGGACAGACACAGGGACGGACCCAGGGAGGGACACAGGGAUGGACACAGGGAGGGACACAGGGAUGGACAGACACAGGGACGGACCCAGGGAGGGACACAGGGAUGGACACAGGGAGGGACACAGGGAUGGACAGACACAGGGACGGACCCAGGGAGGGACACAGGGAUGGACACAGGGGUGGACACAGGGAUGGACAGACACAGGGACGGACCCAGGGAGGGACACAGGGAUGGACACAGGGGUGAACACAGGGAUGGACAGACACAGGGACGGACAGAGGGAGGGACACAGGAUGGACACAGGGAUGGACACAGGGAUGGACACAGGGAGGGACACAGGGAGGGACACAGGGAGGGACAGACACAGGGACGGACACAGGGAUGGACAGACACAGGGAGGCAGGGACAGACCCCAGCACAGCCCCAGGCUGUCUGCACUGAGGCGCCGAGCAGAGGCUCUAAGGAGCGCAGGGGAAGCGGGAUUUCCGUGCCAGGAGCUGUCUGAGAGCCGAGGCUGGAAGGGCUGGGCAGGCUCCAGCAGCAGAGGCUGCAGCUCCGCUGGGCCCCAGGGACAGCACUGCUGCUCCCGAGCACACGGGCAGCAGCAAACACCCUGCCUCACCAAAAUUAAGACUUGA